rnacentral:lncRNA from 10 species
AUUACAGGCACGCACCACCUUGCCCGGCUAAUUUUUGUAUUUUUAGUACAGACGGAGUUUCACCAUGUUGGUCAGGCUGGUGCCAAACUCCUGACCUCAUGAUCUGCCCACCUUGGCCUUCCAAAGUGCUGGGAUUACAGGUGUGAGCCACUGUGCCCAGCCUCCUCUACUUCCUUAAUAAACUUGCUUUCACUUUACUUUAUGGACUCGCCCUAAAUUCUUUAUUACAUCAGAUCCAAGAACCCUCUCUUGGGGUCUGGAUCAGGACCCCUUUCCAGUAACAAUACUGUAGGUAGGAAAACCAUGGAAGGCCUCUUUGAGGAGGUAAUAUUUGUUCAGAGACCUGAGUAAAGUAAAGGAGUGAUAUACAAAAUAAAACAAACAGCAACUGCAUAUACACAAACAACAACUGCACCCAAGUAGCUGGGAUUACAGGUGCACACCACCAUGCCCGGCUAAUUUUUUGUAUUUAGUAACACAGUGGUUUGCAACUAUACUCCCAGCUACUUGGGAGGCUGAGACAGGAGGAUCGCUUUGAGCCCAGGAGUUUGAGGCUGCAGUGAGCUAUAAU